CAGUGUUUGACAACAGCUACAAGCACGACAGGCCACUACCGAUGCACAUCGGUGCAGGCAAGUGAUUGCAAUUGGGAAGCACAAGCUGAUGAUCCGACUUUGGCAUACAGACUUGAACAAGCAGACUGCUUCUCAGUUUCAGGGUCAUGUUUAGCAAGGAGAAGAUCGCCAAGAUGAAGAAAGGCGUGAUCAACAUGAAGAAAGCUCGUCGAGCGAUCAUGGAUUCCUAGGCAGUGGUAGAA